CUACAGGCGCUUAUUGCUCAGGUACAAAGUGUGAUUGAGGGGAGCGGCGUUAAGAUGGCGUUUGGAAAAACUGCCCGUUAUCUCAUGAUUAUUACUAAUCAACCGGACACUUAUUUUACACUGCUGAUUCUCUUCGGCAUCGCAUGCGUCUCUCUACAACUUUGCACAUCACCCUUGUUCUUAAAGAUCGACACUACAACACUUCUCCUUCAUUCUUCAGGCAUCUUCUCACUCUCAAAAAUCCUGUUGAACAAUCUAGAUAGAAACUCCACUGCUCUCUCCUAGAUACUUCCACACCUCCACAGGUGUGUCUGGAUUUCAGGUGCUGGUGCCCCCCAAGAUAAAUGGUGAGCUGGGGAUGAGUGCGGUUCUGAGCUGCAGGAUUCAACUGGACGUCGGCCAGAGUCUGACGCAGUCCUCAUGGGAGAGGCGCCUGCCGUCUGGCUGGGUCACCGUGGCCGUCUACAACCCCAAUUUAGGCAUCUCAAUCCAGCCUGAGUAUGAACACCGUAUGGUCUACCGCAAGCCUUCCAUCCAUGAUUCCACCAUCAUUCUGAAUGAUUUAAGAUUCUCAGAUGUUGGCGACUAUAAGUGCAAGGCGACAACUUUUCCUUUGGGCAUCGAAAGAGCCUUCACCACCCUCAGCGUUCUCUCUCCUGUUUCCAUCACCAUUAAGCCUCCUACCACCCCUGUGCUCCAUCUUAAUCCCAAGAUCUCUACCACUGCAGUGCCUGGCAAUAAGCAGCGACUCCUGUUCACCUUCCCGGCCCAGGAGCCACUGAACGAAUACACCCUGUGCAUCAUUGUGGGUGGGCUUGUAAGUGGAGCUCUUUUCCUGUUGCUGCUGGUUCUUGGUGUGGUUUGCUACAAGCGGUGGCAACAUACUUUCCGUGGAGAAUACAACACCAAGCAGAACCUUGCACCUUCAGACAUGCAGGAAGCACAGUCACCUCCACCACACAAGCUUCACAUCCACACCAAUGCUGCAGACAGGGCCAGUCCUGACACCAAGCUUGAACCCUGCCAGGACAUCAAUGGUGCCAUCCAGGAAGGUAGUAGAGCUUGGCAGCUGAACCACCAACUAGACCACCAGAGCUUCCUCUGCACCCUAAACAAGCACAGGAGCUCGAUGGAGCCUGAGUUCUGCACAUGCCCUCAUGUUAUGGAAAACGGCUCUCCCUUACUGCGAGAGGACUGCAAUUACACUGACUUUGUGUUGCACACAGAUGGCUCCAUUAUAUCCCGUUGGGAAUUGCACGUCUAACUAGGGUGGUACUGCAGAAACUGACGGCUUAAAGCAGCAAAACCCUUCUGCAGAAGACGUCAAACUUGCAACAGUAUAUGAUGAGCUGUGACCCUUAUAAUGAGGUAUGCAACUGUCACGGUUGAAGCGCCUGACUCGCCUCCCGAGCACCAACACAGAGAACUGUCUCCGGAGUAUUAGUCAUUUUCGGACUGUGUUUCCCAUAAUCCUCUUACUGGAACUGAUUGCACCACCACCUGCUUCCAAUCACCCACUUCCUAUAGAGCCUGAACUUGAACUUGACGCCAGUGCGAAGUCUCGAUCAGCCAUUGCGAUUAUUCUGAGCGUUUACCUGUUUGUCUCUAGUUCCAUUUUUUGCUACUCUGUUUCUGUCUUUGGUUUAUUGAUUUGCCUGCCCUGACCUUCUGCCUGUAAUCCUGACUACGAUUUCUGCCUCCGCCACAUUAUUGUGUUUGCCAUCUUUGACCUUUGCCUGUUGCUUACAAGAUUGUUCAAUAAAAGCUGCAAAUGGAU